rnacentral:rRNA from 1 species
AUUCGAAGCAACGCGAAGAACCUUACCAGGUCUUGACAUCCUUUGAAGCUUUAGAGAUAGAAGUGUCUCUUGGGAGACAAAGUGACAGGUGGUGCAUGGUGUCGUCAGCUCGUGUCGUGAGAUGUUGGGUUAAGUCCCGCAACGAGCGCAACCCUUAUUGUUAGUUGCCAGCAUUCAGAUGGGCACUCUAGCGAGACUGCCGGUGACAAACCGGAGGAAGGCGGGGACGACGUCAGAUCAUCAUGCCCCUUAUGACCUGGGCUACACACGUGCUACAAUGGCGUAUACAACGAGUUGCCAACCCGCGAGGGUGAGCUAAUCUCUUAAAGUACGUCUCAGUUCGGAUUGUAGUCUGCAACUCGACUACAUGAAGUCGGAAUCGCUAGUAAUCGCGGAUCAGCACGCCGCGGUGAAUACGUUCCCGGGUCUUGUACACACCGCCCGUCACACCAUGGGAGUUUGUAAUGCCCAAAGCCGGUGGCCUAACCUUUAGGAAGGAGCCGUCUAAGGCAGGACAGAUGACUGGGGUGAAGUCGUAACAAGGUAACCAAGGGCGAAUUCCAG